UAAUAGAUAGCCAGUCCUUUCUUUAGGCCAAUUUUCAAAUGCCUUGUUUAUCAAAUGUAGCUUUUUCCUCUAGACUGGGUAUUCUUAGCCAGAUUGUCAUUUGAGAAAUGGGACAUCAUGUCCUUGGUUAUGGAAAAAGAUGAAGUGCAGUAUCUUAAUAUCCGUUCGUUAGACUCGUUGAGAGCAGUAUCUUCUUGAUCUUUAUCGUGAAUUACUAACAUAUAUGGUUCUUGGUCGAGCAAUUCUCCAAUUUGAGCUCUUUAGUUGCAUAUAUUUCAAGAGACUGAUCUGACCUUAACCUUUUCAGGCUUCUAAGAUAAUUAGUAUGCUUUUGCAGCUCAAUACAUGCAGAAAAUAUGGCCUUGAAAUCUUUUGUCUAGGCAAUUAUAUAAUUGAAUUUGUUUUCCUUCUCUAUUUUAUAGAACCCUGUAACUUGAAGGUCAUUUCUCUUUGCCAUUUUCCCAUCCUUUUCCAUUCAUUUGCUGUUUAUGACAUUGUGCAGUCUAUGAUUUGUUUAAAUAUUAUAGAUAAAUACUGAAUGCUAAUAUUUGGAUUUCAGCUUCAAAGCCUCACAUCACGAGUUACUCAGGCUUCUUUUUAAAUCUGCGUGCAUUGGUUCUUCCUGUUGAAUCCUCUCAUGGCUUUGCACAACUAGAAUUUCCUCAAGGGACCUGAGAGAAGAAGCUUGAUUCUUGUCCAAAUCAGUGUUUGCUCAGAUGGUCGUGUUCACUAAGGAUUGCAGCUACACUCACAAGUUUAUUUUGUGCUUUAACUUAAUUCUUAGAUCAUUAAGAUAAUUUACAGAAUUUACAGCAUAACCUUAUGUAGGCAUCACUUUUUUAUGUUAAUUUUUGUCAUCGACAUAUUCUGUAAUUUGAUUUUUUUUCCUUUUUUUUAAAUUUUUUGAACUUUGGGUUAAUUCUAGGCUUGCUAUUAUGUAUUUGAGCACUAGAUUUUGAACUAUAUCAUGUGUGAUCCCUUAUGAUGAUAAAAGUGGUAUAUAAUUUGCAUGUAAUUCACAUGGACUUCCUAGCAAAGAACGCAUUGACUGGAUUUGAGCUUUUUUAUUAUGCCAAGUCUGUCAUAAACACUUGAAUAUAUAAUGUUGUAGAGUCAGUUAAUGUCGUGAUCAUGCUUGACUUUGCCUAGCAUGAAAUUGUGGGAUAGGACAUGUGGUGGCUCAAAAAGGACGUGAAAAACUCCAUGUUUUGCUUGGUUAGGAGGCAAUUGGCAAUUACUUCUUUCCAGAGUGCGCUUUCAGUACUGUUCAAUCCUGCAUGAGGAUGCUCCUUGUAGAUAAUGGACUACCUUGCUCAAAUUCCACCUUGCUAAGCUCAAAAAGUGCCCCUAAUUAUUGUAUUUUUUCAUGAUAGAGAGAAUGAAACCGUUGUUAAUGGUGAGCAUGGUUUUUUAUUCGAUGUUUGGAAGAUGGAGCCGAUUGAAACCCAUCCUAGCCAGUAUUAGUAUAAAAGUCAUCCAUAAAUCCUCUCUCAAUCAGAUCACCAGUGCCAAAAACUCUGUGAGAGAACUUGCCCAUGCAUAUAAAAAGCCUCGAAGUAUGCCCUGUUUGCAGCGUGUUGUUUGAUCUCCAGGGAAAUUAGGUUUCAGCCAUAGCUAACCCAAACACACCUCUUUUAAUCUGAUGCGAGAAGUUUGCCAAGGUGUAUAGCCUAGUUACUGUCAAUCAAUUUAAAUGGUACACUUCUGAGUUAAUUUGCUUGCCCGAAUAUUUGUUUUCUGUGGUACAGGCAUGUCUUAAAGUUGAUAUGCUUAGGACCUGGAUGUAAACUUCCUAAGUUAAGCAUAUUCCUUACCUGCGAACUUGUUUUUUUAUCGGAUGAUACCUUCUUUUGCAAAGUGCAUUGUUGACUAGUCUGCUUAAUUAUCUCUUGCAUGGUAUUUGGGCAUGCUUUUCAUAUAGAAUCUGUUUUGGGUUUCAAGCUGAUGAGCUAGGUGAAAAUGCAGAAUAUCGGAAAUAGUUGGUUGCUUCCACAGAAAUUUAAGUGUCUGCAUGAUUUAUGAAUGUUUCCAACUUUUUUCUUGUUUCACGUGUAGUAACGGAAAUUCUAGAUCAAAUGCACCCUAAGUAUAGCUGAUUCAAUGGUGUUCAGCCAUAUAAUAGUUGCAUAGAAUGGGUGUAGAAUUUGCUCAGCAACAAAAGGUAGAGUAAUAGAUGCCCAGUCUUUUCUUUUGGCCAAUUUUCAGAUGCCUUGUUUAUCAAAUGUAGCUAUUUCCUCUAGACUGGGUAUUCUUAGCCAGAUUGUCAUUUAAGAAAUGGGAAGUCGUGUCCCUGGUUAAGGAAAAAGACGAAGUGCAGUAUCUUAAUAGCUACUCCAUUCGUUAGACUCGUUGAGAGAAGUAUCUUCUUGAUCCUUAUCGUGAAUUACUAGCAUAUAUGGUUCUUGGUCAAGCAAUUCUCCAAUUUUUGAGCUCUUCAUUUGCAUAUAUUUCAAGAGACUGAUCUGACCUUAACCUUUUCAGGCUUCUAAGAUAAUUAGUACACUCAUUGCAUACAGAAAAUAUGGCCUUGAAAAUACUUGUCUAGCUUCAAAGCCUCACAUCACAGGAUCAGCCUUCUUAUUAAAUCUACGUGCAUUGCAUCUUCCUGUUGAAUCCUCUCAUAGCUUUGCACAACUAGGUAACACCUUUGGAUUAUGAUUGUCGCUUUUCUGAACAUCAUGGACAUCAUGUAUUGUUGCAUCAUUACGGUUGUCAGUUACUUGUGAACAUCAUGGCCUGUUAAAAGAGAAUGGCAUGGAUUAUGGUGCCGUGGCAAUGUUUCUUGCUGUGACUGUAGGAUAUGAUGCUCAUGCUAAGAUGGUAUACCUAUAGCUAUAGAUUUCCUUGUAAGAUAGUAGUCAAUCUCAACAAGGAUGAUAUAAAGGUCUUAAAUAUGAAGUUAGACAAUAUCCUUACUCUUCAUUCCUGAUUCUUGGUUCAUUCUGAUAUAUUGUUUAUUUUUGUUAUUCCUGUUAGUUAAUUUCUUCAUUUGACUAUAAUCUAAGUCAAACUUGCAGUUCAAGGUAGUUUCAAUUCUUGAGGUGAACUCAUCGUGAAACUACUUUUGAACUAUAGUUUGUGACUCUUUGUAUUCUACAUGUAAGGCACAAAUCUGGAUGUGAUAUCAUUAGUGCUGAUUCUAGCACAAUAAGAUAUUCUCCUGUUUGUGUGUGAUAUCAAAAUGGUUAUUUAUUUUAUCACAAAUGUAUGUUCAAACGGUUUUUUGAGUAUAGAGACUUGUUUGAAUAUUACUGACGAUGAUUGGAAUUCUAUUUUGUGAUAAGAGGAUGUAGUUAAACGUCUAGCAUUCCAUAAAGUAGAUUCAAAUGAUUCUGUGCACUCUGACCAACAAUGCAUGUGCCAUUUCAUGCUUUUUCAAUCACAGAAUUUCCUCAAAGGGCCUGAGAGAAGAAGCUCAGAUUCUUGUCCAAAUCAAGGUUUGCUCAGAUGGUCAUUCGUUCACUUAGGAUUGCAGCUACACCCACAAGUUCAUUUCGUGCUUUAAUUAUUAGAUCGUUGAUAAUUUACGGCAUAACCUUAUGUAGGCGCCUCUUUUCUAAUGCUAAAUUUUGUCAUCGACA